rnacentral:rRNA from 1 species
AACGAACGCUGGCGGCAGGGCCUAACACAUGCAAGUCGAACGCUCCCUUCCGGGGAGAGUGGCAGACGGGUGAGUAACGCGUGGGAACCUACCUAGUGGUACGGAAUAGCUCAGGGAAACUUGGGAUAAUACCGUAUACGCCCUGAGGGGGAAAGAUUUAUCGCCAUUAGAUGGGCCCGCGUUGGAUUAGCUUGUUGGUGGGGUAACGGCCCACCAAGGCGACGAUCCAUAGCUGGUCUGAGAGGAUGAUCAGCCACACUGGGACUGAGACACGGCCCAGACUCCUACGGGAGGCAGCAGUGGGGAAUAUUGGACAAUGGGGGCAACCCUGAUCCAGCCAUGCCGCGUGAGUGACGAAGGUCUUCGGAUUGUAAAACUCUUUUAGCAGGGACGAUAAUGACGGUACCUGCAGAAUAAGCCCCGGCUAACUUCGUG